rnacentral:rRNA from 1 species
UACGGAAGGCAGCAGUGGGGAAUAUUGCACAAUGGGCGCAAGCCUGAUGCAGCCAUGCCGCGUGUAUGAAGAAGGCCUUCGGGUUGUAAAGUACUUUCAGUCGUGAGGAAGGUGUUAAGGUUAAUAACCUUAGCAAUUGACGUUAGCAACAGAAGAAGCACCGGCUAACUCCGUGCCAGCAGCCGCGGUAAUACGGAGGGUGCGAGCGUUAAUCGGAAUUACUGGGCGUAAAGGGCACGCAGGCGGUUAAUUAAGUUGGAUGUGAAAUCCCCGGGCUUAACCUGGGAAUGGCAUUCAAGACUGGUUAGCUAGAGUCUUGUAGAGGGGGUAGAAUUCCAUGUGUAGCGGUGAAAUGCGUAGAGAUGUGGAGGAAUACCGGUGGCGAAGGCGGCCCCUGGACAAAGACUGACGCUCAUGUGCGAAAGCGUGGGGAGCAAACGAGGGAUUAGAUACC